GGAAUAUUGGACAAUGGGCGAAAGCCUGAUCCAGCCAUGCCGCGUGUGUGAAGAAGGUCUUCGGAUUGUAAAGCACUUUAAGUUGGGAGGAAGGGCAGUAAAUUAAUACUUUGCUGUUUUGACGUUACCGACAGAAUAAGCACCGGCUAACUCUGUGCCAGCAGCCGCGGUAAUACAGAGGGUGCAAGCGUUAAUCGGAAUUACUGGGCGUAAAGCGCGCGUAGGUGGUUUGUUAAGUUGGAUGUGAAAUCCCCGGGCUCAACCUGGGAACUGCAUUCAAAACUGACAAGCUAGAGUAUGGUAGAGGGUGGUGGAAUUUCCUGUGUAGCGGUGAAAUGCGUAGAUAUAGGAAGGAACACCAGUGGCGAAGGCGACCACCUGGACUGAUACUGACACUGAGGUGCGAAAGCGUGGGGAGCAAACAGGAUUAGAUACCCUAG
rnacentral:rRNA from 1 species